CAACCGCAAUGUUGACACGUUACACUUCAGUGCGUGUUAAAUUAAUAAAUUAGUGCUUCAAAAGUUCCACAACCGCAACAAGCUCUGUAACGGCUCAAGGACGGAUCACCAUGGGCUACGUGACCUGACUUGAAACUUGGAAGCUGUUUCUACUGUGUCUGCCUCUCCCCAGGUUCACUCACCCUCAUCCUCCGUUGAGUCGCCCACCUGCCCUCUCCCCUCGGACUUCCCCCACGGCUUCCUCCCGGGUCUCCCUCGUGCCUAGCCAGUCAGCCUGCCACCACACUCCUUCCCCCCUCGGCCUCCUGUUUCCCUCGGCCCUCUCGCCUGAACUUCCCCUCCCUCGCCAGCUCCUCGGUCCCUCACGCCCGCAUCCCCCGGUGUCCAUCUCUCCUCCAUCUCCAGCCCAUUGCCCCCCCCCCCCCCCUUUUCCCUCAAUAAAUCAGUUAAAAUACCAAGA